AGCACAGCCAAGACUGAGAGUUUUAUAACCAGCUUCUCAGUGCAAGUGUGCAGCACGACUUCAAGUGGAGCACAAGUUAACACAUCUGCUUAACUGUUACGGCUUAAUAGGUUUUACUGCAUACUUAAAUUUUCAUUGAACUUAUACUUGACACCACACUCAAUUGAAGGAUCUUGGGGACGGAUAUACUGAAUAUAGUUUGUGUUGUUUCCUGCUGGAUGUUUGGCAUCAGAAGGCAAAAUCCCCUCCGUGAAUGACCUCGAACACACGAGCGCUCGUUUCACAGCCGGCGCGUGUCGGACCUUCCUCGUUGUUUCCGUGGCCGUGCGGGCGCAGCGGCCGCGGCGCGGCUUUGGCAGGAGCACUGCCGCCGGCGGCUCGGGGAGCCCGGAGAGCCUCCGAACCCCCUGGGUCAGGACACAGGCACCGCUGUGUCUGUGCUCGACUCUGAAACCUCGUCAGCCGGGCUCUGCCACCUCCUCUCCCCUCCGCCGGCGGCCGCCAGCGCAGGGCGAUGGGGGUCACACACCGCCCGCCGUGCCCUCCCGUGGCCGUGCGCGCCCCGUCGCCUUACCAGCGCCUGCAAGCAGUAGUGCAGCUCCA